GCUGGGCAUGGUGGCACAUGCCUGUAAUCCAGAGGCUUGGGAGGCUGAGGCAGGAAGAUGUUUCAAAGAUGCUGAAUUCAAAGCCAGCCUCAG
rnacentral:sRNA from 1 species